UGCAGUCGAACGAUGAAGCUUCUAGCUUGCUAGAAGUGGAUUAGUGGCGCACGGGUGAGUAAGGUAUAGUUAAUCUGCCCUACACAAGAGGACAACAGUUGGAAACGACUGCUAAUACUCUAUAUUCCUGCUUAACACAAGUUGAGUAGGGAAAGUUUUUCGGUGUAGGAUGAGACUAUAUAGUAUCAGCUAGUUGGUAAGGUAAUGGCUUACCAAGGCUAUGACGCUUAACUGGUCUGAGAGGAUGAUCAGUCACACUGGAACUGAGACACGGUCCAGACUCCUACGGGAGGCAGCAGUAGGGAAUAUUGCGCAAUGGGGGAAACCCUGACGCAGCAACGCCGCGUGGAGGAUGACACUUUUCGGAGCGUAAACUCCUUUUCUUAGGGAAGAAUUCUGACGGUACCUAAGGAAUAAGCACCGGCUAACUCCGUGCCAGCAGCCGCGGUAAUACGGAGGGUGCAAGCGUUACUCGGAAUCACUGGGCGUAAAGGGCGCGUAGGCGGAUUAUCAAGUCUCUUGUGAAAUCUAAUGGCUUAACCAUUAAACUGCUUGGGAAACUGAUAGUCUGGAGUGAGGGAGAGGCAGAUGGAAUUGGUGGUGUAGGGGUAAAAUCCGUAGAUAUCACCAAGAAUACCCAUUGCGAAGGCGAUCUGCUGGAACUCAACUGACGCUAAGGCGCGAAAGCGUGGGGAGCAAACAGGAUUAGAUACCCUGGUAGUCCACGCCCUAAACGAUGUACACUAGUUGUUGGGGUGCUAGUCAUCUCAGUAAUGCAGCUAACGCAUUAAGUGUACCGCCUGGGGAGUACGGUCGCAAGAUUAAAACUCAAAGGAAUAGACGGGGACCCGCACAAGCGGUGGAGCAUGUGGUUUAAUUCGAAGAUACGCGAAGAACCUUACCUGGGCUUGAUAUCCUAAGAACCUUUUAGAGAUAAGAGGGUGCUAGCUUGCUAGAACUUAGAGACAGGUGCUGCACGGGCUGUCGUCAGCUCGUGUCGUGAGAUGUUGGGUUAAGUCCCGCAACGAGCGCAACCCACGUAUUUAGUUGCUAACGGUUCGGCCGAGCACUCUAAAUAGACUGCCUUCGUAAGGAGGAGGAAGGUGUGGACGACGUCAAGUCAUCAUGGCCCUUAUGCCCAGGGCGACACACGUGCUACAAUGGCAUAUACAAUGAGACGCAAUACCGCGAGGUGGAGCAAAUCUAUAAAAUAUGUCCCAGUUCGGAUUGUUCUCUGCAACUCGAGAGCAUGAAGCCGGAAUCGCUAGUAAUCGUAGAUCAGCCAUGCUACGGUGAAUACGUUCCCGGGUCUUGUACUCACCGCCCGUCACACCAUGGGAGUUGAUUUCACUCGAAUGCCGGAAUACUAAACUAG
rnacentral:rRNA from 1 species